UUAAACUAGGGAUUAGAUACCCUAUUAUUAAAAUUUAAAUUGAAAAUACUAAAAUAGUAGAUAAUUAUUUAUUGAAACUUAAAUAAUUUGGCGGUAUUUUAGUUCAUUUAGAGGAAUCUGUUUAAUAAUUGAUAAUCCACGAAUAAAUUUACUUAAUUUUUUAUUUUGUAUAUCGUUGUUAAAAAAAUAUUUUUUAAUAAUAAUAAUAUUUAAAAAUUUUGAUUAAAAAUUAAAUCAGAUCAAGAUGCAGAUUAUAAUUAAGAAUAUAAUGGAUUACAAUAAAUUUAUUUAGAUGAAUAUUAAUUUGUAAAAGUUAAUUGAAGGUGGAUUUAAAUGUAA
rnacentral:rRNA from 1 species